AGGAAGAGGAGGAGGAAGAGAAGAAUGAGACAAAAGCAGAGGAGGUGGUGGUAAAGGAGGAAGAGAAGGAAGAGAAGGAGAAGGAGGAGAAGGAGUUGAAAGAGGAGGAGGAGAAAAAGGAGGGCGACGCUGAACAUGCUGAUACUGAAGAACCUGAUGAAGCAGACGAUCUGGAACACACUGAAGCAACACCUGCUGAUAAAACGGACCAGUCAGAUGAUGCCGCUCCCACCACCACAGAGGUUAUGAGUUAGAUGCUCCCCUUCUGAGCCGUGGGCGCUCACCGGCUGGAGAGCCACGCCCACAGCCUCCACAGUGGAAACUGCUGCCAUGACUUCAACAAGUUAACUGCAUGAAUUUCAACCUUCAGCCAACUGUUUGUUUCCUCUCCCCUUUUUUUCUGGUGGUGUCCGUUUUAAACUCUGGCUGCUUUAGUUUUCCUCAGAUAAAAAGAAAUGUCUUCCACCUGCUGACUGUCUUCCUUUCUGCCAUGUGUCCUUUAACCUGUCUCACUUUCUGCCUUCCCGUCUGCAGAAACAUUAAACCAGCUGCUGAGCUCAGAUCUGUUUUGUGUGUCUGAUUUCACACAUUAACAUGUACAUACAGUCCAUCGUUUAAUUUACAGAUAAUGUUUUUAAAGGAGGUGAGGGACC